rnacentral:tRNA from 1 species
GGCCUUGUAGCUCAAGUGGCUAGAGCAUUGGUUGUACUGAAGCCUUCCGCCUGCUGGCGUGGGUUCGAAUCCCACCGAAGCCG